GACCCGUCUUGAACCAAGGAGUCUAGCAUGUGCGCGAGUCAUUGGGACUCUAACGAAACCUAAAGGCGUAAUGAAAGUGAAGGUUCGCCUUGCGCGAACUGAGGGAGGAUGGACGGUCCUUCGAGGCCGUCCCGCACUCCCUGGGCGUCUCGUUCUCAUAGCGAGAAGAGGCGCACCAAGAGCGUACACGCUGGGACCCGAAAGAUGGUGAACUAUGCCUGGUCAGGACGAAGUCAGGGGAAACCCUGAUGGAGGUCCGUAGCGAUUCUGACGUGCAAAUCGAUCGUCGGAACUGGGUAUAGGGGCGAAAGACUAAUCGACCAUCUAGUAGCUGGUUCCUUCCGA
rnacentral:rRNA from 1 species